rnacentral:misc_RNA from 1 species
AUGUCUCAACCACACCGUGAGGUGUGGCUUGGAUUUGUGGGUUACAGGCUUAGUCUGCUUCCUGAAAUGCAUGAGUGGUAACGACCUCUCCAUUAAGAUGUGAUACAUAUCUGCAUCUAGUUGAGGGUUUUGCUGCUAUAAUAAGAGUUGGAUUUGAUAA